UACGUAGGAGGCAAGCGUUGUCCGGAAUUACUGGGCGUAAAGCGCGUGUAGGUGGUGGGACAAGUCUGCUGUGAAAGCGCCUGGCUUAACCGGGCGAGGUCGGCGGAAACUGUCCGACUCGAGGACGGUAGAGGGGGGGUGGAAUUCCCGGUGUAGUGGUGAAAUGCGUAGAGAUCGGGAGGAACACCUGUGGCGAAGGCGGCCCCC
rnacentral:rRNA from 1 species